UACAGAGGUCUCAAGCGUUGUUCGGAUUCACUGGGCGUAAAGCGCGCGUAGGCGGCUCGGAAAGUCGGGCGUGAAAUGCCGGGGCUCAACCCCGGGACUGCGUCCGAUACUUCCGAGCUGGAGGUAGGUAGGGGAGAUCGGAAUUCCUGGUGUAGCGGUGAAAUGCGCAGAUAUCAGGAGGAACACCGGUGGCGAAGGCGGAUCUCUGGGCCUUACCUGACGCUGAGGCGCGAAAGCUAGGGGAGCGAACAGG
rnacentral:rRNA from 1 species